GAAACUGCGAAUGGCUCAUUAAAUCAGUUAUCGUUUAUUUGAUAGUACCUUACUACAUGGAUACCUGUGGUAAUUCUAGAGCUAAUACAUGCUAAAAACCCCGACUUCAGGAAGGGGUGUAUUUAUUAGAUAAAAAACCAACGCCCUUCGGGGCUCCCUGGUGAAUCAUAAUAACUUAACGAAUCGCAUGGCCUUGCGCCGGCGAUGGUUCAUUCAAAUUUCUGCCCUAUCAACUUUCGAUGGUAGGAUAGUGGCCUACCAUGGUGGCAACGGGUAACGGGGAAUUAGGGUUCGAUUCCGGAGAGGGAGCCUGAGAAACGGCUACCACAUCCAAGGAAGGCAGCAGGCGCGCAAAUUACCCAAUCCCGAUACGGGGAGGUAGUGACAAUAAAUACUGAUACGGGGCUCUUUUGGGUCUCGUAAUUGGAAUGAGAACAAUUUAAAUCCCUUAACGAGGAACAAUUGGAGGGCAAGUCUGGUGCCAGCAGCCGCGGUAAUUCCAGCUCCAAUAGCGUAUAUUAAAGUUGUUGCAGUUAAAAAGCUCGUAGUUGAACCUUGGGUCUGGCUGGCCGGUCCGCCUCAC
rnacentral:rRNA from 1 species